UGGGGAAUCUUGCACAAUGGAGGAAACUCUGAUGCAGCGACGCCGCGUGAGUGAUGAAGCCCUUCGGGGUGUAAAGCUCUUUCGACAGGAACGAUAAUGACGGUACCUGAAGAAGAAGCUGCGGCUAACUACGUGCCAGCAGCCGCGGUAAUACGUAGGCAGCAAGCGUUGUUCGGAAUUACUGGGCGUAAAGAGUGUGUAGGCGGUGCUCUAAGUUUGGUGUGAAAUCUCCCGGCUCAACCGGGAGGCUGCAUCGAAUACUGGAAUGCUAGAGGGUGGGAGAGGUAAGCGGAAUUCCUGGUGUAGCGGUGAAAUGCGUAGAUAUCAGGAGGAACACCUGUGGUGUAGACAGCUUACUGGACCACUUCUGACGCUGAGACACGAAAGCGUGGGUAGCAAACAG
rnacentral:rRNA from 1 species